CUCCCCCCACCCCCCUUGCUCGUCUAGGUAAGAGGGAAACCCCCUUUCCCAGCAGCCUAACCUGGAAAGCAGAGGCGGCGGCCAAGGGAGGACAUCGACGACGGCCCUAGAUUUGGUUGAAGAUUGGAUCACCGCGAGGCAGAUUUAAGGGAUUCCAUAGCUCCUAGUCAUCGUUAGGCCUCCCAUACCACACCAUCAUCCACCACUCUAGCCCUGCCCUCGUUGUUCUGAGGCCUGCGAAAGGAGCCUCAGGGGCCUCCUCGAUCGAUGGCGCCAGACGAAUUGGAGAGGCGGCGACGGAGGAUGUGGCUAGUGCGGGCAAAAAGGAUUGACGACGUGGUAUUAUGCUGGAUGAAGUGCAUGCGGGAGUUGAUGGAGAAGGAGGCUAUCGCACGAGAUAACCCUGGCUUUCAGGUGGACGUAUCGAUGCACAAAAGGUGUGUGGAUAGAGGAUUGAGGACUGUAGCAGACAUCAUCUUCUCAGAGACCUCAAAUGAAGAGCGCUCUCGGAUGCCGACUCAGAGUAGACUGGAAUUGGUCCUCGAAUGGGCAUUGGAAGAGGUGAAAUCUCCAAUCAUGAUUCAGAGAGCCCGAUGGGGAUGUGUCGUGGGGAUAAUGCCACCGAGAGUUCCCCCACCACCACGGGACUCUACUCCACCUUCAGCAGUCACCUUUCCAUCCACUUGAACAGUGGAUCUUUGGGGGACAACGGGUUGUGCUACUGGUGGCAUCAACAAGCCGCGGGUGGCAAAUAACGUUGAACUUGUUUAUGAAUGUGGUACUUGCAGUACUAAGGCUAGUGCCAUUACAUUAUAAAUAUACUGCAGUAUGAUUGAACUCUAGUUUGAUUUGGAAUUUUCAUUAUAUAUGUGUUCUUAGCAGAACUGAACUCUAGUUUGG